rnacentral:rRNA from 1 species
AGUGAACGCUGGCGGUAGGCCUAAUACAUGCAAGUCGAACGGCAGCACAGAGGAGCUUGCUCCUUGGGUGGCGAGUGGCGGACGGGUGAGGAAUACAUCGGAAUCUACUCUGUCGUGGGGGAUAACGUAGGGAAACUUACGCUAAUACCGCAUACGACCUACGGGUGAAAGCAGGGGACCUUCGGGCCUUGCGCGAUUGAAUGAGCCGAUGUCGGAUUAGCUAGUUGGCGGGGUAAAGGCCCACCAAGGCGACGAUCCGUAGCUGGGCUGAAAGGAUGAUCAGCCACACUGGAACUGAGACACGGUCCAGACUCCUACGGGAGGCAGCAGUGGGGAAUAUUGGGCAAUGGGCGCAAGCCUGAUCCAGCCAUACCGCGUGGGUGAAGAAGGCCUUCGGGUUGUAAAGCCCUUUUGUUGGGAAAGAAAUCCAGCUGGCUAAUACCCGGUUGGGAUGACGGUACCCAAAGAAUAAGCACCGGCUAACUUCGUGCCAGCCGCCGCAGUAA